GGCACCAUGGUAGCGUAGUCGGUAGAACAGUUGACUCCUAAUUUAAUUGUAGUGGGUUUGAUACCUACCCAGGCCA